rnacentral:rRNA from 1 species
UACGUAGGGUCCGAGCGUUGUCCGGAAUUAUUGGGCGUAAAGAGCUCGUAGGCGGUCUGUCGCGUCGGCUGUGAAAACCUGGGGCUCAACUCCAGGCCUGCAGUCGAUACGGGCAGACUAGAGUUCGGUAGGGGAGACUGGAAUUCCUGGUGUAGCGGUGAAAUGCGCAGAUAUCAGGAGGAACACCCGUGGCGAAAGCGGCUCUCUGGGACGGUACUGACGCUGAGACGCGAAAGCGUGGGGAGCAAACAGG